AUUUAGGAACCUGUCUUUUCUCAUAACAGCUGAUGACAUCUCUGGUGUGUGGGAACAGAAGGGAGAAUCCAUCUGUUGGCAGGAAGAGAAAAAAGAAUGUACACAAGCUACAGUGGAGGGUGACUAUGGAAUUGGGAAGGAGUGAAAAAGGAAGUGACCUUUCUACUGGAUCAAAGGAAAAACCUGGAGGGUUGCCUACACCAUCCAUGGACACAGGAACAAUAGCUUCAGACGGACUCUUCAAGCAGCUCUCACAAUUUCAUAAGGUCAGAUCCCCAUAAUAAGAAUACCUAUCCUUUGUUAGUUAGCACUCCUAGUGUUUCUACUUCUCUGAUCAAACGAUGAUACAAAAUUUGGUACUAGAAAUGGUGCCAGAAGAACUGAAUCUGAAACUGAUCAUUUCUUCCAAUUAGUUCUGCAUUUUCUAGAAUUGAUUCUCUGCCUUGUUUAGAUUUAAAGACAUCACUGGCCCUAUUUCCAAUGGUAAAGUGGCCAAAGCAUGCAGUGGCAAAGCAUUUACUUAUUACCUGCAACCAAGUGCAUUUGGAAGGCAAAACUUUAGUGAGCAAGGAUGUGUUGGCAAAAUACAAAAAUCUCUGUGACUUACAAGUCACAAAGAUAUGUUUCUGGCUCAUAAUACUGGGGACCCUUUCAGAGGGGCUGCAGCUGCACUCCAGCUGUCUUUUCAUCUUGUACGGCAGGCAGAAGGAGCCGUCCUGAUCUGGGGAAUGCCCCUCUCAUGGCAGAAGGGAUGAGAAAGAGUGCUGGUGGGAGCCCAUUCCCCUCAUGGUCUAGGCUCAAACAUACCUUUGAUCACCUGAAUUGAUAUUUUAUUAGGCAAAUAUGUCACAGCCAAACCUGAAGUCUAUGGGGCAGGAAUGCAUUAUCCUCUUUCAAAGAAUGGGGAAUAAAUAGUGGCCAACAGCAACAACCAUAGUCAUGUAUUAAAUAACUCUAAAUUGAGGUUGAUUAUUAUUUAUUAGGGGCCUGGAAGAUCAAACGCCAAAUUAUCUUAAAGCAUAGAAUAAAAAUACAGUGAGCUGAAAACUAGAGUGAGAGUAGGAAAUUUUUAAAAAUGGUAGUUCCAGAAGGAAAACAACAACAACAAUUAUGGAAGAGAGGUAUUACUGAAAUGAAUAUGAAAAUAAAAUUUCCUUGAAAUAAAAAAAAAGUUCUAAUUUUGCACCAGGUGAAACUUAUGGAAAAAAGACACACUUAGGAAAAUUCUGAUAAAAUUUCUGACCCUAAGAACUGAUUUAAAAAAACUAACAAUUUUCCAAGCAGAGAUAAUAAAAUAACCCCCCCCCAACAAAAAAAAAAUCAGGCCAUCAUCGCUAACAGAGAAGGCAAAGUAUAAAGGGCUGCUGUCUGAGUCCUGUACCAGCCAAGACCUCAUUCAUUGGUGAAAAUGAGAGAUAAUUGAGGUUAUGCAGGAAUUCCAAAAGUCUCAUUUAUAUCAAUAAAAAUAUGAAUCAGAAAAGAAACUUGAAAAUUGUAAUAAAGAGGAAAAUGUAAUUAGAAAAAUUGUUACCUAGGCUAUAUAACUAGUUACCUAGCUAACUAGCUAGGUGUAGUAAUAUAUAGCAAUAUGCAUGGUACAUUGAGCUGGUAGGUAUCUGUACAAUCAGACUUUCAGUUUAUAGAUGACUCCUCUGAAAGUUUGGUGUCCCAACUAAUUGGGCUGGUUUCUUUGCCAUAUAGAUUGUUACAUUUUUAAUAUCUCCCUUUCAAUAUAAUUCCUGGAAGUUUUUAAGAAGGACUUUUGAAACAGAAAGGACACACUGGCCUUGGUUCCUCUGUGGAGAUUAAGUGUAGCUUCGUGGGAAAAAAUAAUAUCUAUCUAAAUUUCAAUAAAUAGUAUAUUCAUAAGUGUCUAAUUAUAAGAAUAGUAAAUAAUCUUGACUGGAAAAUGUCAUUAGAAUUCCUAAUUAACAAGACAAACAUGAAAGGAACAGUAACCUGAUUAAUUGAGCAAAAAAUGGGGGGAAAAAAGAGAAAAUUAACAAUAUAUAAUGAAGGAAAAAAUAAACUGGAAGGAAUGACAUCAAGUUACCAGUUUUUAAGGUACAUACUAAUGAUAAUUUAAAAAUCUUGAGUUUAAGAAAAAAAUUUAAUCUGAAAUAAAAACUAUCUAGAAAGCAAGAAAAAGAACAUUAUGGAAGACUAUCUAAUAUCUAUGUAAUAUUCCCCUCUUUUCUUAGAGGGAAAUGAAGAGCCUUAAGUGCCUUUGAUAUUAAAGGAGAGAAGGAAUUAAGUAUACAUUAAAAAAAUAGAAAAUAAAAAUGCAGGAUAUAGGAAUUAGUAGAGAUAAAUGUAAAUUGAUGAAAUAGAAAAAAUAAAAAACA